rnacentral:rRNA from 1 species
AUUGAACGCUGGCGGCAGGCCUAACACAUGCAAGUCGAGCGAGCGGCGGACGGGUGAGUAAUGUCUGGGGAACUGCCUGAUGGAGGGGGAUAACUACUGGAAACGGUAGCUAAUACCGCAUACUAUCGGAUGUGCCCAUAUGGGAUUAGCUCGUAGGUGGGGUAACGGCUCACCUAGGCGACGAUCCCUAGCUGGUCUGAGAGGAUGACCAGCCACACUGGAACGGAGACACGGCCCAGACUCCUACGUGAGGCAGCAGUGGGGAAUAUUGCACAAUGGGCGCAAGCCUGAUGCAGCCAUGCCGCGUGUGUGAAGAAGGCCUUCGGGUUGUAAAGUACUUUCAGUGGGGAGGCGUUACCCACAGAAGAAGCACCGGCUAACUCCGUGCCAGCAGCCGCGGUAAUAC